AAGUCGUAACAAGGUUUCCGUAGGUGAACCUGCGGAAGGAUCAUUAACGAAUUGUGAGAUUGGUGGAGUGGGUAAGAGGGUAACCUCUGCUCCUCCUCCUUGACACAUUUACGCGUGUUGUGUAUGACUGAGUUUACCUAUCUCUUUAACGAGACAACUUUUAACAAUGGAUCUCUUGGCUCUU
rnacentral:misc_RNA from 1 species